AAACAUCGCCUCUUGCCCAAAUAUAAGAGGUCCCGCCUGCCCAGUGACAGGAUUCAACGGCCGCGGUACUCUAACCGUGCGAAGGUAGCACAAUAGCUUGUUCUUUAAAUAAGGACUAGAAUCAAUGGCUUCACGAGGGUUGUACUGUCUCCUUUUUCUAAUCAGUGAAACUGAUCUCCCCGUGAAGAAGCGGGGAUAUACAUAUAAGACGAGAAGACCCCAUGGAGCUUUAAACUCAAUAGAUACCCCUCUGCUCUAACAUGAUAACUUAGGCACCUAUCUAUUAGUUUUGGGUUGGGGUGACCACGGAGUACAAUCUAGCCUCCGCAAUGAAAAGAAUAAUAUCCUAAUCCAUGAGGGACACCUCUAAGAAUUAAUAUAUUAGCAUACACUGAUCCAAUAACCUACUUGAUCAAUGAACCAAGUUACCCUGGGGAUAACAGCGCGAUCCACUUCAAGAGUUCCUAUCGACGAGUGGGUUUACGACCUCGAUGUUGGAUCAGGGUAUCCCGGUGGUGCAGCCGCUACUAAAGGUUCGUUUGUUCAACGAUUAAAACCCUAC
rnacentral:rRNA from 1 species